rnacentral:tRNA from 1 species
GGUUCCAUAGUGAAGCGGUUAGCACGUCUGCUUUACAUGCAGAAGGGUCCUGGGUUCGCGCCCCAGUGGAGCCA